CCUACGGGCGGCAGCAGUGAGGAAUAUUGGUCAAUGGGCGCGAGGCUGAACCAGCCAAGUAGCGUGAAGGAUGAAUGUCCUACGGGUUGUAAACUUCUUUUGUCAAGGAAUAAAGUCAGGCACGUGUGCCUUUUUGUGUGUACUUGAUGAAAAAGCAUCGGCUAACUCCGUGCCAGCAGCCGCGGUAAUACGGAGGAUCCGAGCGUUAUCCGGAUUUAUUGGGUUUAAAGGGUUGGUAGAGGGGUUGUUAAGUCAGUGGUGAAAGGUUGGGGGUCAACCGUAACAUUGCAGUUGAUCCUGGCAGUCUUGAGUAGACGUGAGGUAGGCGGAAUGCGCGGUGUAGCGGUGAAAUGCUUAGAUAUCGCGCAGAACUCCGAUUGCGAAGGCAGCUUAC
rnacentral:rRNA from 1 species